CGGUUCUUUCUUUGUUUUUGUUUGUUCGUUUAAUUUUCAUGUGUUGUAUAUUUUUGGGCAUGGCCAUGCCUCUGUUUUGAGUCUUUCUCUAUUCUGAGUUUUGGUUUUAAAUUUUCAUUAUGGGUUUUUUAAUUUCCUGAUCCUUACUUUUUCUGUUUGUAUCCUAUGUUUUAAUUUUUGUGACCAUGGGCAAAAAGACUCGAGCUAGCCAAACUGUGUGUGUUACAGGAGCAGGAGGGUUUGAUGCUUCAAGGCAUGUGAAGCUGCUAUUGGAACAGUUCGCAAUCUAGGGUACAGUAUAAGGAGGAGGAGGAGAAAGAAGCGGAAUUACACAUCACAACUAUCAAGAAUUAAACCACCAGAGCUUACGUAAUACCAAUAAGAAUUGCAUCGAACAACAUAUAAACAAUAUCAGGUGCUAUUUCAGAGGAAAUGGCCUCUUCUCAUAUUUGAUCCAUAUGAAAUGCACUUUCAGAUUGUUGCUCUCUUUGUAAUUUGUGCAAAUGGAAAUUGCUUAUAUUUCUUGUGAAGGCACCUGCAACACAAUCACGUGGAGUGCAAGAUGCUAUAUAACCUCCAAAUUCCAAAAUAGCUCAGGUACCACUCAAUCACUAUAUUUACAUGAAUAGUGAAUACGUAAAUAUUAAAUAUAUUUCAAGAUGUUUGUGUAUUACCAUUUCCCAUGACUAUUGUUGUUGUCACCAUAAAAAAAUUUAGCCACUUCUAAAUGAAGCAGCUGCAAAUGCAAUGCAAAUACUGCUCCCAAGCUCAGCUGAAGGAGAUUUGGCUUCCAUCUGCUUAUGGAUUAAUAUAGUUUGUUCUAUACAUCCUCUAUCUUAUUGUUUACACUUUGCCGAUCCUCCUGGUGUCUAUAACUAUAAGUGCAACCAUUAAGUGAAUUUUUUUUCAAUCGUAAGCUCUUAUCUUAUAUGUAGUGUCUACAUUAAGUGCAUUGUCCUUGGAAAUGUGUGUUAUAGGAGCUAUCAACUAUAGGUUACUCUUUCAAGCAAGGAUUCAUCCCCACCAUUCAUUUUGGUGUUUAUUAUUUUCUUUAUCACAAUUGUUGGUAUUAUGAUUGUGGGAUAUUGUCUUUCAUCUUUUUGCCUCUCAUGUUUGAUCAUUUGUUGAAUGUCCCUCAAAAACAAAAAAAACACAGCCUAUCGGCUUUUUGUUGCACGAAAAAAAGUGUGCAACUGCUAGUUGUUAAUUGUUUAGAUUGUGUUGUUCCUUUUUUUAAUCAAUAAGUUGCAACAACCACUGUCUCCAAGUGUAAUAUUCUCGCGAGUUUAAGGCCAAAUUUUACACUACUCUAUAAUUUUGUCAAACAUUUUGGAUGCUUCCUUAAUUAUGUUUGGAAAUACUUCAUUGUCAUUACUAUCUUUGGAGGUAUAAAUUAGAAAUGCACCUAAACUUUUUACACUACUCUAUAAUUUUGUCAAACAUUUUGGAUGCUUCCUUAAUUAUGUUUGCAAAUACUUCAUUGUCAUUACUAUCUUUGGAGGUAUAAAUUAGAAAUGCACCUAAACUUUUUGUGUUUCAGUUAUAAGCGUUCUUCUAGAGAAUGCUACAUAAACUUAUAUUUUAGUUAUGUAGAUUGCUAUAAUUUUACUCUCUUUUGUAGUGCAGUAAUGUUUUCCCUAGUUAUUCAAGGAUACUAAUGUAAAUUUUC